UAAAACUGUGUGGUUCUUACUAAGUUUUCGAGGUUGAUGUCGCUUUAUAACACAUAACCACCAUGCACCUAUUACGAAGACAGUGUUUGAAAAGUUUGUAGUAAUUUUGAGAAGGUUGCUUAUUAAUAGCUUUCAAAAGUUUUAUAUUUGCUAUUCUAGAUUUAUUCUAGAUACAUUAACUUUUAAUGAUAAACUGAAGCAACCUAUGUUUGAUAAGAAAAAGUACAGACAAAGUCACUUUAUGGGAUCAAACUAUGAUGUAGAGUUAAACUAAUAAAUAAAAUAUAGAAAACUUUAUCUUCCUAAAAAUUGUGCAAUAUUCAAUGGAAUGGCUCAAGUCUAAACUCCGUUGGUCAAAGUUUAGUUAAAAUGAAACAUAAGCUUAGCAAUUAUUGAUAAGUCACUGGAAUAUUAAUUAAAGAGUCGUAUACUUCUUGAAUUAUGUUUCGUCUUGUUUCUAAAUCCGAAAUCUUCGUAGGCGAUUUUAGAGCUUUAGGAGACCACAUGUAAAUGUUCCCAUUCAUAUCACCAGUAAAACACUGUUCAAAGUCAGGACGAUAGGCAGCACAAUUAAUACGUUUUAAACUGUGGGUUGAAAGUCGGCGCACAAACGAGCCUUCUAACAAGUUCAAUAAGGCAAGAGACCCAUCAUCGUUGGGGAAUAACACAAAAACAUCUGAAUCCAUAGAGGGUUGGAUCAUGCAAGGAUGUACCGCGAAGGAAGUAGUCUGGUUAUGAAUAAUAGGUCCAAAUUCUCUCAAUGUGUUUCUUCCACUUUCCAUAUUCCAUACUCUUAUUCGAUCGUCGGUACCACAACUUGCCAAAUAUCGAGCAUCUGAAGUCCAAGCUAAUCCAUUAACGGUGCCGUAAUGAGAUAUAUUUGUCUGGUUACUGGGUAAAUACUUAUUAUGUAGAUCCAUACAUGCGAAGCUGGAUGAUACUUUACGAAUGUCCCAAAGUCUGCAAGUGCCAUCUGCAGAGCCGGACGCUAACACGAAUUCAUUCUUAGGACACCAAUCCACCGCAAGGACAUUACCCGUGUGUCCAGACAAACUAUGAGUAUAACUACCACUUUGCAUAUCACAAAGCCGAAUAGACGAAGACCGGUAGGCGGCUAUCGUUAGAUGAACAAUCUCAAGAAUGAAGAAUAUAACGUACUGGCAAUUAAACAAUGUGAUGCAAUGGGCGACCAUGCAUGUGAAUAAAUCAUGUCCUCCAUAGUAAAAGUGUAAGCUUCCUACCAAUAUUAGAACAUUGGUUAAUUUGCGAUUUCUACUUUUAUUACCUGUAAAGUAGAAACAUCCCAAACCUUGAGCGUAUGAUCGAACGACGAGCUAGUAAAAAUACCAUUAUCAAACGGAAACCAAUGCAAAUCUGUUAUUCCAAACUUAUGACUCGUUCGACUAAAACACCGCAAGUUAGCUAUUGAUCACUAGUGUAUAUAUUGAAAUUGUCAUAAACUAGGUAGAAAAUGAAUGCUU